UUUGUUUGGGAUUUGGGAUUUGGGAUUUGGAGCUUCCGCUGCUAUGCAGCGGUAUGGUAGGAGAGCGUUCCAUACGCAGUGAAGUCUGAGCGCGAGUAAAGAUGGAGUGUAUGGAAGUGAGAAUGUUGGUAUGAGUAACAUGAAUUAUGGUGAGAAACCAUAACACCGAAAGCUUAAGGUUUCCUGGGCAACGAAAAUCAACCCAGGGUUAGUCGGUCCUAAGGCGAGGUCGAAAGACGUAGUCGAUGGAUAGCUGGUUAAUAUUCCAGCACUGCUAUAUGUCAUGAUAUGGAAGGACACAAUGUGGGAGGUUAGGCAUAUUAUUGGAUUUAUGUCAAUGUCUUGUAGGCUGAUUCGCGAGGCAAAUCCCGCGGAUUAUUGAAAGCAAUUUCAUAAAAGCCGAGAGAUGUUGGGACUUCUGCUUAAGGGCGGGAGAACCUAAUUGGGUCAUGUUGUCAAGAAAAUUUUCUAAUUUAUCAUAUAGCAACCGUACCGCAAUCCGACACAGGUGAGCAGGCAUCAGCGUGCCAAGGUGUACGGGAGAACUCUUGUUAAGGAAUUCGGCAAAACAACGGCCGUAACUUCGGGAUAAGGCCUGCCCCGCGCAAGCGGGGCUGCAACAAAAGAAAUCAGGGCGACUGUUUAACAAAAACACAGGUCUAUGCUAACCCGCAAGGGGAUGUAUAUGGGCCGACGCUUGUCCAGUGUCAGAACGUUAAGGUUGGAAGUGAAAGCUUUCGGCUGAAGCGCUGAUGAACGACAGCGGUAACUAUAACCGUUCUAAGGUAGUGGAUUUGUUUCAGAAAAGCGAAUCUACUAGGAUUGGGACGGUUGUAGAAAAAAGUAGCUACCCAUUUCUUAGUAAAAUAAAAAGAAAUGUCCAUUUGGCCAUAUGCUGGAAACUCUGGUGAAUCUGAUGUUACUAUGGUAUAAUACACACAUAGAUUUUAUGAACAAAUAUUAUGCCAAGUAAAAAUACAUUCAGCGCAGACAAUCAGCAGGAAAGACCAGAAAUCAUUAGAUUUCUGGAAUCCUCAGAGAUCAAACGCCAAAACCGUCUGUAAGGCGGAAAGAUAUGAUCCUAUCUCUAUGGCGACAUAGAGGGAU
rnacentral:rRNA from 1 species